rnacentral:tRNA from 1 species
UCCCUGGUGGUCCAGUGGCUAAGACUCCACACUCUCAAUGAGGGGACCCAGGUUCAAUCCCUGGUCAAGAAA